AGUGAACGCUGGCGGUAGGCCUAACACAUGCAAGUCGAACGGCAGCACAGUAAGAGCUUGCUCUUACGGGUGGCGAGUGGCGGACGGGUGAGGAAUACAUCGGAAUCUACUUUUUCGUGGGGGAUAACGUGGGGAAACUUACGCUAAUACCGCAUACGUCCUACGGGUGAAAGCAGGGGAUCUUCGGACCUUGCGCGAUUGAAUGAGCCGAUGUCGGAUUAGAUAGUUGGCGGGGUAAAGGCCCACCAAGGCGACGAUCCGUAGCAGGUCUGAGAGGAUGAUCAGCCACACUGGAGCUGAGACACGGUCCAGACUCCUACGGGAGGCAGCAGUGGGGAAUAUUGGACAAUGGGCGCAAGCCUGAUCCAGCCAUACCGCGUGGGUGAAGAAGGCCUUCGGGUUGUAAAGCCCUUUUGUUGGGAAAGAAAAGCAGCAGGUUAAUACCCCGCUGUUCUGACGGUACCCAAAGAAUAAGCACCGGCUAACUUCGUG
rnacentral:rRNA from 1 species